UCCGGGCAGGCGGAGGUGUGAGCCCCCUCUCCCCCACAAUGCAGUGCGCGGCGCGGCUGACAUGGCGGCCGGGCCGGAUUGAGCCGCUCGCGUCGGGGCCUCCAGCAGCCAGAGCCGGGCAUGGGGGGGGCGCAGCCUCCGCGCCCCUAGGGCAGCAGCCAGACAAUCAGCCAGAUUCCCAUGCCCAAACAGUGGAUUUUAAUCAACAUAAUAUUACUGGAGAAUUGCGUUUCAAGUAGUCUCAAGUGACAGAAGAAGCAGGUCUUCACUAUAAUGGAAGAGGCCAAGAGCUCAAAAAAUGGAAAUCAUGACUCAAGAAAGUCUACCCGUGUUGUCUGUGAAGAAGGCAAAGCAGUCAGAAUUAUAAACAAUCAGAAUUAUAAACACAGUAGAAAUGAUAAAUCUGUAAAAGAUGUUGGGAGAAGUUCUCCAAGUGGGAACAGUAGUAAAAAGAGUAAACAAAAUGAUGUUUGUUCUGAAAAAUCAGGAGAAUAUAAAUCAUGUAAAGUAAAUAGUUGUAUUCCUGGAUCUAAAGAUGUGGGGUCAAACCUUCUGGAUCGAAGUCAUGGCAAAGCAAAAAAAAUAUCUAAUUUACCAGCAGCAGCAGAAAACCUGAAACAGAUAAAAGUUCAGCAGACAGGAGAAAACUCUCCAAGCUCCCAUAUUUCUGGGAAUGGAGUCAGUAUGGAAACCUUACCAGCUACACAAAGAGGGAAAUUGGUUUUGGAAAAUCCACCAGGAGUUCAUAUGUCGAAAACAAGCACAGAUCAGACUGGUGACUCUGGUAAGACAGUUUCAGAUCAAAGAACAGUGGAGCACAAGUCUGAUGACUUCAACAAAAUGAAGAAUCCUGAAUCAACUAAAGAACAUAAUUUGGAGACUGAAUAUUUAGAAAACACUGCUGUGAUUGAUGAGUCUACUUUGACAGCAGAACAGCAACUAGGCUUGAAACAAGCAGAAGAGCGACUGGAAAGAGAUUAUAUCUCCCGACUAGAAAAACGCUCCCCAGAAUAUGCCAAUUGCCAGUAUCUAUGCAAACUCUGCUUGGUUCACAUUGAAAAUAUCCAGGGAGCUCACAAGCACAUUAAAGAAAAACGGCAUAAGAAAAAUAUAAUGGAAAAACAGGAAGAAAAUGAGCUGCGUGGCCUGCCGCCUUCCUCCCCUGCACAGGUGGCUGCUUUGACCUUUACGCUCAUGGAGGCAGCAAAUGAACAAGGCAUAUCAGAUGAUGACUUCAGAAUCCGCCAAGAAAUUGUAAACGAGAUGGAGAAGAUUAUUCAACAGCCCUUACCAGAGUGUUCACUGAGGAUGUAUGGCUCCUGUCUAACUAGAUUUGCUUUUAAAACCAGUGAUGUUAAUAUUGACAUAAAAUUUCCCUCCAAGAUGAGUCACCCGGAUGUUCUGAUACAGGUGCUUGACAUUUUAAAAACCUGUGCUUUUUACUCAGAUGUGGAGUCAGAUUUCCAUGCCAAAGUUCCUGUUGUCUUUUGCAGAGAUGUUAAAAGUGGUUUAACUUGUAAAGUGAGUGCUAGAAAUGAUGUGGCCUGUCUUACAACUGACUUGCUGGCUGCACUUGGCAAACUGGAACCUGUCCUUGUUCCCUUGGUGUUGGCUUUCCGCUACUGGGCUAGAUUGUGCCAUAUUGACUGCCAGGCAGAAGGUGGGAUUCCCUCAUAUUCUUUUGCCUUAAUGGUGAUAUUUUUUCUUCAACAAAGAAAACCACCCAUUUUACCGUCCUAUUUAGGCACUUGGAUUGAAGGCUUUGAUUUAAAGAGGGCAGAUGACUACCCACUGAGAGGUAUAGAAGAGGAGAAGUUUGUAAGAUGGGAAUACAAGCCACCAAAUAAUGGAGCGGGGAAAAACUCAAGUGGUAUAGACGGCAAAGCUAAAGCUGAACAGCAAAAAGGUGGUAAGAAGUCAACAAGCUCAGAAACGGACAACCAAAGUAAUGCAAAGGAGAAACAUGGCAAAUCUCCCUUAGCAUUUCAAAAACCCCACCAAAUAUCCCUGGGGCAACUAUGGUUAGAACUGUUGAAGUUUUACACACUGGAUUUUGCUUUGGAGGAAUAUGUCAUCAGUAUACGGGUACAAGAACUCUUAACCAGAGAGAACAAAAACUGGCCUAAAAGACGAAUAGCCAUUGAAGAUCCUUUUGCACUAAAGAGGAAUGUUGCACGAAGCCUAAAUAGCCAGAUGGUGUUUGAGUACAUCCUGGAGCGGUUCAGGACAGCAUAUAAAUAUUUUGCAUGUCCACAGACUAAAGAUGGGAUUAAAUCCAAAUCAGAUACCAAGCAAAAAGAAAAGGAAAAAAUUAGCAGCAAGAAAUCUGCAAAAUCUGGAGAACCUGUAGCCAACUGUUGCCUUUCACAGGGAGAAAACAUUUUAGAGAAACAGAAUGCAGGAAAUGGAUGUAGUAUACAAGAAUAUGAACUUAAAUGUAAUGAAAUGGAAUCUACAUCCAGGAAAUGUGUUUCUGAGAACACAGACAGUUUGUUAAUAAAUAAGACAGAUGCAUUGGACUCCAAUUAUGAUGAAGACAGAGAGGAAACAGUAUCUCUUAUUUCUAAAGAAUCCUGUGAAUUAAAGCAAAAAUCACUCAAAGAGAAAGAUGAUCUAGAGCUUUCAGAAAUUUGUCUAACUAAAGACAAGCUAAGCCACCAUUGUAAUUGCAGUGAACAUUGGUUCCAUGACCCAAAUUCUGUUAAUGAAUUUGUUGAUGUUGAAAGUGGACAGAGUUCAGUAAUGGAGUAUUCACAGAAGAAUAAGUGCACUAGCACAUCAGCUACCUCGCACAACUGCAAAGCAAUGGUAGAUGUUUGUAACCUUAAAGAUGAAGAUAAACUCUCCAGAGAAGAAAUGCAUUAUGUGUUUGAUAAAUUUAUUUUGACUUCUGGAAAGCCUCCAACUAUAGUAUGCAGCAUCUGCAAACGUGAUGGCCAUUCCAAAAAUGACUGCCCAGAGGAUUUUAAGAAAAUUGAUCUAAAACCACUACCACCAAUGACAAACAGAUUUCGGGAAAUACUUGAUAUAGUGUGUAAGAGAUGCUUUGAUGAAUUAUCACCUCCUUUCUCUGAGCAACAAAACAGAGAACAAAUUCUGGCAAGUUUGGAAAGAUUUAUUAGAAAAGAAUACAAUGACAAAGCCAGACUGUGCUUAUUUGGCUCUUCAAAAAAUGGAUUUGGAUUCCGGGACAGUGAUCUGGAUAUCUGCAUGACCUUGGAAGGCCAUGAAAAUGCAGAGAAACUAAAUUGUAAGGAAAUAAUUGAAGGUUUGGCAAAAAUUCUUAAAAAGCAUCCAGGUUUAAAAAACAUCUUGCCUAUAACAACAGCCAAAGUGCCUAUAGUAAAAUUUGAACACAGACGGAGUGGCUUAGAGGGAGACAUCAGCUUAUACAAUACGCUAGCACAGCAUAACACAAGAAUGCUGGCUACAUAUGCAGCUAUUGAUCCUAGAGUGCAAUAUUUGGGAUAUACAAUGAAAGUUUUUGCUAAGCGCUGCGACAUUGGAGAUGCAUCCAGAGGAAGCCUAUCUUCAUAUGCCUAUAUCCUUAUGGUGUUGUACUUUCUGCAACAGAGAAAUCCCCCAGUUAUCCCAGUUCUUCAGGAGAUAUUUGAUGGAAAACAGAUUCCACAGAGAAUGGUUGAUGGAUGGAAUGCCUUUUUCUUUGAUGACAUGGAAGAGCUGAAGAAGCGUUUGCCUUCACUUGGAAAGAACACCGAGUCACUUGGAGAACUCUGGUUGGGGUUGCUGCGAUUCUACACUGAAGAAUUUGACUUCAAGGAAUAUGUGAUCAGCAUUCGGCAGAAGAAACUACUAACCACCUUUGAGAAACAGUGGACAUCCAAAUGCAUUGCCAUUGAAGAUCCUUUUGACUUGAAUCAUAAUCUUGGUGCUGGAGUCUCCAGAAAAAUGACCAAUUUCAUAAUGAAGGCAUUUAUCAAUGGAAGAAAACUGUUUGGUACCCCAUUCUAUCCAAUCCUGGGAAGAGAAGCUGAAUACUUCUUUGAUUCCAAAGUAUUGACAGAUGGGGAGCUGGCACCCAAUGAUAGAUGCUGCCGUGUCUGUGGAAAAAUUGGUCACUACAUGAAAGACUGUCCGAAAAGGAGAAGGCUGAAGAAGAAGGAGAAUGAGAAAGAAGAUGAAAAAGAAGUGAAGGAAGAGGACAGGGAGACUAGAGAGAAGAGAUGUUUCAUCUGUGGGGAUGUGGGACAUGUUCGAAGGGAUUGUCCUGAAUUCAAACAAACUCGACAGAGAAAUAACAGCGUGCCAGGUAAACAAGCGGUCUCAUUUAUGAUGGUUUCUGUUAUUGUCAUUAGAAAGUUCUCAGGCUAUUCUGUUCUAUUUGGGUUUCUACACCACCCUCCUCAGCAUUGCACCUUCUCACAUUUGCAGCACAAGACACCCACUGUCAUUGUCAGCACAAGCUUCAUUUUAAGCACCUCUUUUCUCUAGAAGGGAUGUUGCUCAAGCUUUAGAAUCUUUGGACCAGAUUCUUGAGUCCAGAUGUGCUGAGUUCAUCACAAGACACAGUGAAUGGAUUGAAAAAGGUGUAUCUAAGUCACCUUUCCACUCUUUUGAUCCUGGAAAAGUUGGAGAGGUAUUUUGGACCUCAGCAUAAUUUAAAGCAACCUAAGCGCUGCUGUAAAUUAUGCCACCAGGAACGGCCAUUGAAGGUUUGUUUUGCUGGCUAAGGAUUUAGCAUGUUUGGGUAGGCCAGUGGCAUAGCCUCACUACACCACUUUGGAAGGGCUAGGAAUGGCUGGUGUAAAGUCAGCUGCACCAGCUUAAUCCCUUUUGGGUUUAAACAGAAACCCUCUGUAAACAGAAUCCCGAACUGUUUUAUGCUGCAUGACCAGCUCAAAGCAGCCACAACGGGGGGCAGGGAUCCUUGCUCUUGUUCACUGAGACCAAAAUGGGGGUCAUGACCCCUUAGGGGGUUGUGAGGUUAAUAUGUGGGCGGCACAAGCUGUCAUCCUCCACCCAAACCCCACUUCACCUCCAGAAUUUAUAAUGGUAUUAAAUUUAAAAAAAUGUGUUUUUAAUUUAUAAGGGGGGUUGCAUUCAGAGCCUUGCUGUGUGAAAGUGCAUUCCAUUAUAGUGAUGACAGCAAGGGGAUGGCGAUUUAAUUAACACUAGAUUUUAUUUGUCUCUUCGCACAAAUAAACAUACUUUUAAAUUAUAUACCUUUUUCUGUAUUGAAGUGCUUUAUAGUUGGAGGUGGGUGUAAGAUGUAAAGUUGAAAUCCCAAAUCCUUUAGAGUUUAAUGAUCCAGGGUUUUGGUCAUACACCUCUCUUAAAUAAUAUUAUCAGGCUCCCUUGCACAUCUCUUUCUGAAAUGAUAGUGUAGUUUCUCACUGUUUGGCAAGAGUGGGUUAAGGAAGGAUCCUUGGGACAUGGCUGAGUGAUCUGAAGGGGCCCAACAGCAUAAAGCAGUGAGAAAAUAAGUAUAGUAUGAGUAUGGGGACUGGAAGUGAGGAAAGAACAAGAAGACCAAACAGGGGUAGAUAGCCAGAGGAGCUGGGAAGGAAGAGUAAGGAGGAAAGUGUUGAGAGAAGAUGUUUCUAUUUGGGCUUGUCUAUGUGGAGGCUUAGUGCGCAACAACGCAGGAUGUGAAUGUACAGCGCAGUAGCCUGAUGCACGCUAAGUCACCGCGUGAAUCCUGUUACCAUGCGUUAAAAGUUCCUGAAUACAUUUUGACAUACAUCCAAGUGCACUAUGGAGCUUAAUGCUCAGAAGCAGUGUACACAUGACCAAUCAGUGCAUGGCAAGCUAGCGCACUACAGAUUUACACGUAUUUAUCCUGCACUAAGUUUCUGUGUAGACAAGGUCUUUGGAUGGGGAGAGCGAUAUAGCUGUGCUGAAAGUGUGAUGUGUCCAGGCCUCAGAUAGUCGUACUACAGCCCUGCUCUUUAGCCAGCACACCAAAUAUCAUGGACUAGUUCUUUGUAUUGCCUGUAUAUAUCAUUCACAAGACCACUUACAGUAUCCCUUGGUAAGAGUUUAUGUCCUUGUCUCUCUGUGCUGUCACACAUUGUUUUGACAGUACCGAAUUCUGUGAACCCACAGAAUAUCUUGCUUUUUAGACUAGCAAAGAAAAAAUGCUAAUUCUAAUUAACUGCUGUAAUAGAAUGUUCCACAUACUGUCUGCUGCUUUGUGGAUCUCUCUGAAAGUGAAGGUUCUGCUGUAUGAGGCAAAAAUACUGUUAGAGUGGAGAGGUAUUUAGAAUGAGACUUCUUAUGCUGCAAUUGCAGAAGGAGGAAUGGGGAUCAGUGGUUUAAAAUUUCAGAAAAAGUGUCAGGCAGAGCAACCCUUACAUAAAACAGUGAUUGACAUUAGAAUAGAUUUUUAAGUGUCUUAAUAAUUUUCAACAAUUUCUGCCUGACUUGCUUAAAAACCAUUAUGUAAGUAGUCUAGUUUCUAGUCUUACUUCAGAAUAUAUUUGAUUCCCCAUCCAAAGUUUUAUAGUUAAAUGCCUUUCAUUCCCUGAUUGAUGUAUUUAAUAAUAAAUGAUAAUAAUUCACAUUUAUGUAGUGCAUUUCCUCUUCAAAGUGCUUUGCAAACAUUAACCCUGCAGCAUCCCUCUCAGGCAGGUAAAUAUAGUCCCACAAAGGCCUUGACUAAAAUUUUCAAAAGCAUUUAAAUGAUUUAGGAGCCUAGGUCCUAUUUUAAAAACUGACUUUGGAGCCAAAGUCUCAUUGAAAAUCAAGGAGUUAGGUUCCUAUGUUUCAGAGUUGCUUUUGAAAAUGUUUACCCCUUUUUAUUCGUUAAGGGUUUUUUGGCAAAAAUUUCCCAAUGUUGCUAAUGCUGGUAAAGUUCCACUGCUGGUAGCAAUUCUUGACACUCUGGUUUAAGUGUCUACUAGUGCCGGGGCUUCCAUGUCUACUAGAUAAGGAGUCUUGUUUACAUGAGCAUUCAUAUUGCUCAGAACAAGGUUAAACGGCCAGUUGUGUUGCACUCAUUGCUAAUACCUGUUUUCAUUAAUGGGUAUAUUUCCUGCUGUAGACAAGGCUAAUGAGAUUAAGUGAGUUGCCUAAACCAUACAGUGAGUUUUGAUUAGAACUCAGGAGUUUCUGGCUCCUGGUCCUAUGCUUAGUGUUAUUCAAGAUAGUUAAGUCCAAAGCUGACUGCGAAGAGCUACAGAGGGAUCUCACUAAACUGGGUGACUGGCAACAAACUAGCAGAUGAAAAUCAAUGUUAAUAAGUACAAAGUAAUGCACAUUGGAAAAAAUAAUCCCAACUAUACAUCCAAAAUGCUGGGGACUUAAUUAGCUAUUACCCCUCAAGAAGGAGAUCUUGGAGUCAUCAUGGAUAGUUCUCUGUAAACAUCUGCUCAAUGUACAGCAGCAGCCAGAAAAGCUAACUAUGUUAGGAACCAUCAGGAAAGGGGAAGAUAA